rnacentral:lncRNA from 1 species
AUCUAUUCCAUAAGUUCGAGCGUAAGUGUCUCCUGUACCUUCCAUGCUUGAUUUCGGACGAGAGACGACAUCCCUUCUUUGAAGUACCUUCUUGGAUGGAAAUCAUUUGACACGUCUCCUCUCACCUCAAGCUCUCCGAUUGAUUAAUGCAAGACCUUGUGUAAGAUAUUCUCAUCUAUCCCUAUUAGGACUCCUCUUACCAC